AACUGAAGAGUUUGAUCAUGGCUCAGAUUGAACGCUGGCGGCAGGCUUAACACAUGCAAGUCGAGCGGGGGAAGGUAGCUUGCUACUGGACCUAGCGGCGGACGGGUGAGUAAUGCUUAGGAAUCUGCCUAUUAGUGGGGGACAACAUCUCGAAAGGGAUGCUAAUACCGCAUACGUCCUACGGGAGAAAGCAGGGGAUCUUCGGACCUUGCG
rnacentral:rRNA from 1 species